rnacentral:misc_RNA from 1 species
AUCCAGAUGAGGAUGAUCAUGAAGUUUCAGAUCCAGAGGAAUUUCCCAUGUUUAAGAAAUUUAUGGAAAUGAUAAUUCCACUGUUGAAAAGAAAUCCUAACAUACUGGAUGCUGUUGGAGUGAUUUUCUUGACCCAUUCAGUUGUUGGCCUGGAAAGGAAGGACUUUGCGUUGGUGCUGGGGCUCCUGCACUUUGUCUGUGUAAAGUUAGUUGGCCAAGAGGAC